rnacentral:piRNA from 1 species
UAAAGAUUUUAUAGGUAAAUUGAUAGCC